rnacentral:lncRNA from 1 species
UUUAAAAAUAAAUACUACUACUAUUUUCAGGUAACAGAUUCGAAGGGUCAUAUAUUGGCGAAAAGAGAAGCAAUUUCCAAAGGCAAAUUUUCUUUUAACACGGAGAGUUUUGAUACCUACGAAAUCUGCUUCAUAUCACAAGUUGCUCCACAUAUAGCUGGUGUAACUCAAGAAGUUUCCUUAAUUACCAAACAUGGUAUAGAAACGAAAAA